rnacentral:rRNA from 1 species
GGGUGACUGCGUACCUUUUGUAUAAUGGGUCAGCGACUUAUAUUCUGUAGCAAGGUUAACCGAAUAGGGGAGCCGCAGGGAAACCGAGUCUUAACUGGGCGUUAAGUUGCAGGGUAUAGACCCGAAACCCGGUGAUCUAGCCAUGGGCAGGUUGAAGGUUGGGUAACACUAACUGGAGGACCGAACCGACUAAUGUUGAAAAAUUAGCGGAUGACUUGUGGCUGGGGGUGAAAGGCCAAUCAAACCGGGAGAUAGCUGGUUCUCCCCGAAAGCUAUUUAGGUAGCGCCUCGUGAAUUCAUCUUCGGGGGUAGAGCACUGUUUCGGCUAGGGGGUCAUCCCGACUUACCAACCCGAUGCAAACUACGAAUACCGAAGAAUGUUAUCACGGGAGACACACGGCGGGUGCUAACGUCCGUCGUGAAGAGGGAAACAACCCAGACCGCCAGCUAAGGUCCCAAAGUCAUGGUUAAGUGGGAAACGAUGUGGGAAGGCCCAGACAGCCAGGAUGUUGGCUUAGAAGCAGCCAUCAUUUAAAGAAAGCGUAAUAGCUCACUGGUCGAGUCGGCCUGCGCGGAAGAUGUAACGGGGCUAAACCAUGCACCGAAGCUGCGGCAGCGACACUAUGUGUUGUUGGGUAGGGGAGCGUUCUGUAAGCCGUUGAAGGUGGCCUGUGAGGGUUGCUGGAGGUAUCAGAAGUGCGAAUGCUGACAUAAGUAACGAUAAUGCGGGUGAAAAACCCGCACGCCGGAAGACCAAGGGUUCCUGUCCAACGUUAAUCGGGGCAGGGUGAGUCGACCCCUAAGGCGAGGCCGAAAGGCGUAGUCGAUGGGAAACAGGUUAAUAUUCCUGUACUUGGUGUUACUGCGAAGGGGGGACGGAGAAGGCUAUGUUGGCCGGGCGACGGUUGUCCCGGUUUAAGCAUGUAGGCGGAUGUUCCAGGUAAAUCCGGAACGU